AUCGCUUCUCGGCCUUUGGCGCUAAGAUCAAGUGUAGUAUCUGUUCUUAUCAGUUUAAUAUCUGAUACGUCCUCUAUCCGAGGACAAUAUAUUAAAUGGAUUUUUGGAGCAGGGAGAUGGAAUAGGAGCUUGCUCCGUCCACUCCACGCAUCGACCUGGUAUUGCAGUACCUCCAGGAACGGUGCACCUCCG
ensembl:snRNA U2 U2 spliceosomal RNA